rnacentral:rRNA from 1 species
CCCGGGCCUUGUACACACCGCCCGUCACACCAUGGGAGUUGGACGUACCGGAAAACGCCGAGUUAACCCGCAAGGGGGGACAAGCGUUUAUGGUAUGGCUGAUGACUGGGGUG